ensembl:lncRNA
CCUAGAUUGGACUCCAAACCCUCCAAACUGGGAGCUAAAUAAGCAUUUUCUCUUUAUAACUUAAUUGCCUAAUGCAUUUUGUUGCAGUAAUGUAAAGUUAACACAGUGCUCUUACAAAAGAAGCCUAAAGAUAGACUCCAGGCUCCUUUCACCACACAGAUAUGAAAGUACCAUCUGUGAGCCAGAAAGCAGAUUUUUUCACCACACAUGGAAUUUGCUGACACCUUGGUCUUACACUCUCCAGUCUUCAGAAUUGCCCCAUUGCUGAAAAGUGUAACAAUGGCAACUGAAUUUCCACAUGAAUUUUUGAAGUGACAAACAUUCAAACCAUAAGAGGCUCCAAAUGUUUCUACUCCAGAACCCCAGGGGCACCGUUCCUGUUGACUGAAUCAUCCAGAUGAUAACUGAGGCCAUGGGAGUUGAUGAAGUUUGCUGAAGAGAACCACAUAGGCUGAGUUACAAAAGAGCUCAGCAUACCCCCGAAGACCAGCAAUAACUGAAGGAUGAAUACAAGAGAAGACUGCAAAGUAACCUGAGCCAGAACCACUAGAUGGAGUGAGGUUUUAGAAAACUGAUGGCUAUACUGAAAAGUUAAAAAUCAUCAUUAAAGACAAUAAUAAUCCCUGGAAAUAAUUUCAGAAUCCUAAACGUGUUAGAGGAUACUUUAUGGCAUGCCAUGGAUGAGGGAAACCACAUUGUUAAGGAAGAUACAUGGACUGUGAGCUCCAAAGAAGAUUGCUAGUCCCAGCAUCUUCUCCUAACUGGAGAUUGGCACUAUGAAUCCUUCGACUAAAUACUGCAUGGGAAAAAUAUUCAAUGAGAAAACUGGGAGUUGGCCUUCAAUGAUAUGGUAACCCAAGACUACAGUGAAACAAGUGACUGAAGAGAGGAAUUCAAAAACAGACCUGAAUAAAGAGAGUUCAGGCCCUUCCUAACUGUAUCCCUGGUUACUGUGCCAUUGUCAUUCCUGGGGUUUCUGAU